rnacentral:misc_RNA from 1 species
CAGAGUUGUAAAACUCCCAAACCCAUGUGAACAUACCUGUUGCCUCGGCGGCCUACCCGGCAGCUACCCUGUAGCUACCCUGUAGUCCGCCGACGGAUCUCAAAAACUCUUGUUUUCAAUUGUAUCUCUGAGAAUAAAACAAAUAAAUCA